rnacentral:rRNA from 1 species
UAAGGUUAAGUUAAUAAGGGCGCACGGUGGAUGCCUUGGCACUAGGAGCCGAAGAAGGACGUGACAAACGACGAUAUGCCUUGGGUAGCUGUAAGUAAGCGAUGAUCCAGGGAUUUCCGAAUGGGGGAACCCAACAGGUACUACCUGUUACCCGCAUCUGUUAAGGAUGUGAGGAGGAAGACGCAGUGAACUGAAACAUCUAAGUAGCUGCAGGAAGAGAAAGCAAAAGCGAUUGCCUUAGUAGCGGCGAGCGAAACGGCAGGAGGGCAAACCGAAGAGUUUACUCUUCGGGGUUGUAGGACUGCAAUGUGGACUCAAAGAUUAUAGAAGAAUGAUUUGGGAAGAUCAGCCAAAGAGAGUAAUAGCCUCGUAUUUAAAAUAGUCUUUGUACCUAGCAGUAUCCUGAGUACGGCGGGACACGUGAAAUCCCGUCGGAAUCUGGGAGGACCAUCUCCCAACCCUAAAUACUCCCUAGUGACCGAUAGUGAACCAGUACCGUGAGGGAAAGGUGAAAAGCACCCCGGGAGGGGAGUGAAAUAGAACCUGAAACCGUGUGCCUACAACAAGUUCGAGCCCGUUAAUGGGUGAGAGCGUGCCUUUUGUAGAAUGAACCGGCGAGUUACGAUAUGAUGCGAGGUUAAGUUGAAGAGACGGAGCCGCAGGGAAACCGAGUCUGAAUAGGGCGCCUUAGUAUCAUGUCGUAGACCCGAAACCAUGUGACCUACCCAUGAGCAGGUUGAAGGUGCGGUAAGACGCACUGGAGGACCGAACCAGGGCACGUUGAAAAGUGCUUGGAUGACUUGUGGGUAGCGGAGAAAUUCCAAACGAACUUGGAGAUAGCUGGUUCUCUCCGAAAUAGCUUUAGGGCUAGCGUCGACAUAAAGAUUCUUGGAGGUAGAGCACUGUUUGGGUGAGGGGUCCAUCCCGGAUUACCAAUCUCAGAUAAACUCCGAAUGCCAAUGAAUUAUGGUCGGCAGUCAGACUGCGAGUGCUAAGAUCCGUAGUCGAAAGGGAAACAGCCCAGACCACCAGCUAAGGUCCCAAAAUAAUUGUUAAGUGGAAAAGGAUGUGGGGUUGCACAGACAACUAGGAUGUUAGCUUAGAAGCAGCUAUUCAUUCAAAGAGUGCGUAAUAGCUCACUAGUCGAGUGACCCUGCGCCGAAAAUGUACCGGGGCUAAAACAAUUUACCGAAGCUGUGGAUACCUUUAUAGGUAUGGUAGGAGAGCGUUCUAUGUGUGAUGAAGGUAUACCGUGAGGAGUGCUGGAACGCAUAGAAGUGAGAAUGCCGGUAUGAGUAGCGAAAGACAGGUGAGAAUCCUGUCCACCGUAAGACUAAGGUUUCCAGGGGAAGGCUCGUCCGCCCUGGGUUAGUCGGGACCUAAGGAGAGACCGAAAGGUGUAUCCGAUGGACAACAGGUUGAUAUUCCUGUACUAGAGUAUGUAGUGAUGGAGGGACGCAGUAGGCUAACUAAAGCAGACGAUUGGAAGUGUCUGUCUAAGCAGUGAGGUGUGAUAUGAGUCAAACGCUUAUAUCUAUAACAUUGAGCUGUGAUGGGGAGCGAAGUUUAGUAGCGAAGUUAGUGACGUCACACUGCCAAGAAAAGCUUCUAGCGUUUAAACAUACUCUACCCGUACCGCAAACCGACACAGGUAGUCGAGGCGAGUAGCCUCAGGUGAGCGAGAGAACUCUCGUUAAGGAACUCGGCAAAAUGACCCCGUAACUUCGGGAGAAGGGGUGCUGACAGAGAUGUCAGCCGCAGUGAAUAGGCCCAGGCGACUGUUUAUCAAAAACACAGGUCUCUGCAAAAUCGAAAGAUGACGUAUAGGGGCUGACGCCUGCCCGGUGCUGGAAGGUUAAGAGGAGAGGUUAGCGCAAGCGAAGCUUUGAAUUGAAGCCCCAGUAAACGGCGGCCGUAACUAUAACGGUCCUAAGGUAGCGAAAUUCCUUGUCGGGUAAGUU